ensembl:lncRNA
GCGGGGAGUGUGCUGCCCCUUUAAGGCAGGCAUGAUAAUUUGGGUGUGUGUUUUUUGUACCAGCAGACUUGCCAUAGUACCUCGCCAGUGAAAAAUAGUCCUUUAGCCAAACUGUUGUCUGUUCCACUUUUUGUUCACUUUUUCUUGCUGAGCCUGAGAGAGCACAUGCCUCUUCCACAGAGGCCAGCAGGUGGAUGAGGGAAAGGGGAGGCAGGAGGAGGACAGACCCGAGGCGGCCGCCAGUCCGAGUGUCAGCUGAACUGAACUUCAGUCAGUUACAACAGAGGUUCCCAUUGCGGGGGGGCGUGGUAUGAAAAGAAAAAAAAAAAAAAGAGCGCUUGGACACUGUGGACAGGUUUUUGACGGGGCUCCCACAUAAACGCAAAGCAGGAGAUGAAGCAUCGCCAAAUAUGUUUCCAAACCAACUUCCUUCCAAGCCAAAGACAGGAAAAUAUGGUGAAGCAUAUCUUCACUUUGGCUUCACCUGCACAAGUGCCAAGGUAGGUCUCCCCUGCAAAAUUAGUUUCCCUGCGUCGGGAGCACGCGCUGGGCUCUCCAAAUCACGGACAAACAGUAUCCCACAUUCUUGAUUUUUAGUUCACAAACACUUCUUGUAAUAACUAACUACUCCUGACAUUUUGGAC